rnacentral:tRNA from 1 species
GUUUUAAUAGUUUAAAUAUAAAACGAUGAUCUUGUAAAUCAUAAAUAGAUUUUAUCUUUAAAACU